rnacentral:lncRNA from 1 species
CUGUGAGCUCUGGUUUAGCCUAUUAAGAACUGUUUUACUUGGCUACUUUGUGACAUGAACGUUUGCCAUUCGUUUACCAGUUACAGUGGGCACCAUUGGAAAAUGCAGUUUCAUAAUUACUUCAGUAUUUACAUUCUUCAGGGAUGAAUCAUAGCAAUUGAAUGAUGCUGUUUAAGAAUCAAUGUAGGAGUGGCUCUUUCAGAGCCUCAUGACAUACAUUAAAUAUCCAUCACUUUAUCACUGACUGUUGGGCUCAUGCAGCCCUUCCUACCAUAGAAGGAAGAGCCAACAUGUGGCCUUGAACCCAGAUGACUAUGUACUGUCCAUGGAAUAUCUGCAGUUCUUAGGCUCCUGAGCAUUCAUGCUUUCUGGCCAUUUGUAGUUUAUCUGUUGGACUUCUAAGCCUUUUAGGAGAUAAUCUCCUUGCUGUGGAAUGCUGGGUUUGUGGAAGCAUUGCAUUUUGCGUCACUGAGUAUCAGCAAAACUGCCUCUGAGCUAUGCAGACAUAUUGGGACGAGCACAGAAAGGGCUGGCUGGUGCAGCAAGGGGCCAGCUGCUGUAAGAGAAGCACAUUACCAAUUGCUGAAGCUGUUAAGAAAUUGCAGUAUCUCUUGUGAUAAACAAGAACCAUUGAAUCCAGAGGAAUCCCGAUAAGCCACACUACUUCCUGGAAAAUGUCUUGGGGGGGGGGAAGCACUGUUAUUAAAAUUGUAUGUAAAUUUUAGAAAGCAUGAAUUAAAACUGAAACAAAUCUAAAAAGCAUUUUUUU